rnacentral:rRNA from 4 species
AGAGUUUGAUCAUGGCUCAGGACGAACGCUGGCGGCGUGCCUAACACAUGCAAGUCGAACGGAGAAUUUCAAAGAGCUUGCUCUAAGAGAUUUUUAGUGGCGGACGGGUGAGUAACGCGUGGGUAACCUACCCAUAAAGCCGGGACAACCCUUGGAAACGAGGGCUAAUACCGGAUAAUCUUAAGUCUUGGCAUCAAGGCAUAAGGAAAGGUGGCCGAUGAGAAUGCUACCGAUUAUGGAUGGACCCGCGUCUGAUUAGCUGGUUGGUGGGGUAAAGGCCUACCAAGGCGACGAUCAGUAGCCGGCCUGAGAGGGUGAACGGCCACACUGGGACUGAGACACGGCCCAGACUCCUACGGGAGGCAGCAGUGGGGAAUCUUCCGCAAUGGACGAAAGUCUGACGGAGCAACGCCGCGUGUAUGAUGAAGGUCUUCGGAUUGUAAAGUACUGUCUUUGGGGAAGAACGAAGUACUUGAGAAAAUUGAGUACAAAUGACGGUACCCAAGGAGGAAGCCCCGGCUAACUACGUGCCAGCAGCCGCGGUAAUACGUAGGGGGCAAGCGUUGUCCGGAAUUAUUGGGCGUAAAGGGCGCGUAGGCGGAUAAUUAAGUCCGGUGUGAAAGAUCAGGGCUCAACCCUGAGAGUGCAUCGGAAACUGGCUAUCUUGAGGACAGGAGAGGAAA